rnacentral:lncRNA from 1 species
ACCGGACGGAGGGUUGUUAUUAUCGCUGCUGGACGGUGAUAAAUGGUGGCCCGUACAGGGAACCCCCUUUCUCCGUUUCUAACAGUGCACUGAGGUCCCUUGCAGAAUCUUUAGAAGCCCAGCCCAGGCAAGAGAGCUCUCCUUGAGGUGACCGCCUGGAGCGUCUAUACUGCAGGAAGGGCUGCUUUAGAAAAUGAGAAGGAUAGCAAUCAGGAUCUGGAGUCAGCAAACUGGAAUGGACGGGGCAAAUCAGGCCCCCUGCUCCCCGAUACACACACUUCCAUCAGGACACGUUGCUCUUACUCCUCGUGCGUGCGAUGUCUAUGACACUUUCCGUGCUCCAAGGGCAGAAUCAGGAAUAACUUCUUUGAAGACCGGGGUGUGAGCUGGCUUGUUCACCACAAUAUGCCCCAGUGCCCAGAACUUUAAAGGGGCUCAAGAACAUUUGUUUAGUAAAGAAUACCAUGUGGCUAACCUAACAAGAUGCAAACGGAGAUAUUAAGAUUGAAGACAGAUGCUGCUCCUACUGUCGGCGGGGAUGGAGGGCAGUUGAAGAACCAAUGUGAAGGGAACUUCUAGAGACUGGGAGGAAGUCUAACACCUUUCCUCUGUUGAGUGACUGUUACCCAUGAGACCCUAGGGCUACACACGUGAACAGACCACCAUGGUCCCUGUCCUCAUAGUGCUGGUGUUGUAGCACGUUGUUUAAACCCUCCAUCCCCAUUUUAGGAUAGGGCAUGGGGAAGCCUUUUUUUUUUCUCUAUUUUUUUUUCUUUAUGUAAAGGGCCAGAUAGUAAGUAUUUUAUGCUCUGCAGGUUUGCGAUUUGUGUCACAAAUACUCAACUCUGCUGGUGUAGUGCAAAAGCCAUCACAAAUGGCACAACAUCAUGGCUAUGUUCAAAUAAAACCUUAUUUCCUUAUUUACAAAAGCAAGCAAUGGGUCUGG